CCUACGGGUCGCAGCAGUGAGGAAUAUUGGUCAAUGGGCGAGAGCCUGAACCAGCCAAGUCGCGUGAAGGAUGACGGUCCUACGGGUUGUAAACUUCUUUUGUCAGGGAGCAAUUGGGUCCACGCGUGGGCUUAGCGAGAGUACCUGAAGAAAAAGCAUCGGCUAACUCCGUGCCAGCACCCCCGGUAAUACGGAGGAUGCGAGCGUUAUCCGGAUUUGUUGGGUUAAAAGGUGGAGUAGGCGGAAUAUAAAGUCAGCGGUAAACAUUCGGGGCUCAACCCCGUCGUGCCGUUGAAGCUGAUGUUCUUGAGUGGGCGAGAAGUAUGCGGAAGGCGUGGUGUAGCGGUGAAAUGCAUAGAUAUCACGCAGAACUCCGAUUGCGAAGGCAGCAUACCGGCGCCCAACUGACGCUGAAGCACGAAAGCGUGGGUAUCGAACAGGAUUAGAUACCCGUGUAGUC
rnacentral:rRNA from 1 species